GCCAGAAAGCUGCAGACUCCUUAAGGGAGAGACUCUUUUAAGCCAUUUUUUGAAACUUGCCAAAGCAAGGGACUUGUCCAGCCCAGCUUCCCCGCUCCUGCUGGCUCCUGAGGCUCAGAGACCUUGGCCACCGCCCACCUGCCCAGGCCCUGCAGCGUUUCCACGGCUCAGCCAUGGCCCUGCUGCUCCUCCUCGUGCUUGAGGGGAUUUUUGCCCUUGGGGUGAACAGCCAACAAGGAGAAGAGAAUCCGCAGGCUCUGAGCAUCCAGGAGGGUGAAAAUGCCACCAUGAACUGCAGUUACAAAUCUAGUAUAAACAAUUUACAGUGGUAUAGACAAGAUUCAGGGAGAGGCCUUACCCUGUUAAUAUUAAUACGUGCAAAUAAAAGAGAGGAACAUCAUGGAAGACUAACAGCCACUCUUGACACCUCCAUCAAAAGCAGUUCCCUGAUCAUCACAGCUUCCUUGGUUGCAGACACGGCUACUUACUUCUGUGCCACAGAUGCACAGUGUUCACCAGGCACCUGGGGCUCCUACGCAAACCCUGCCAGAGCUGCUUCUUAGA